GGGCUCACACAAGCGGUGGAGCAUGUGGCUUAAUUCGAGGCUACGCGAAGAACCUUAUCCUAGGCUUGACAUGUGCGAAAGCGCUGGGAAGUAGAAACCUGAAAGGGCAACCAACGGUAUCCAGUCCGGAACCCAGUACAGGUGCUGCAUGGCUGUCGUCAGCUCGUGUCGUGAGAUGUCGGGUUAAGUCCCAUAACGAGCGAAACCCUUGCCUCCAGUUGCCAGCGGGUCAUGCCGGGGACUCUGGAGGGACUGCCGGUGUUAAACCGGAGGAAGGCGGGGAUGACGUCAAGUCCUCAUGGCCUUUAUGCCUAGGGCUGCACACGUGCUACAAUGCCGCGAACAAAGGGACGCCAACGCGCAAGCGGGAGCAAAUCCCAAAAAACGCGGCCCAGUUCAGAUUGAAGGCUGCAACUCGCCUUCAUGAAGUUGGAAUCGCUAGUAAUCGCAGGUCAGCAACACUGCGGUGAAUGUGUUCCUGAGCCUU
rnacentral:rRNA from 1 species